CCUACGGGUGGCAGCAGUAGGGAAUAUUGCUCAAUGGGGGAAACCCUGAAGCAGCAACGCCGCGUGGAGGAUGAAGGUCUUCGGAUUGUAAACUCCUUUUGUUAUGGAAGAUAAUGACGGUAUCUAAGGAAUAAGCACCGGCUAAUACCGUGCCAGCAGCGGCGGUAAUACGGAGGGUGCAAGCGUUAAUCGGAAUCAAUGGGCGUAACGAGAGCGUAGGCGGGAUAGCAAGUCAGAUGGGAAAUCCUAUGGCUUAACCAUAGAACUGCAGUUGAAACUGGCAAUCUAGAGUAUGGGAGAGGUAGGUGGAAUUCUUGGUGUAGAGGUAAAAUGCGUAGAUAUCAAGAAGAAUACUCAUUGCGAAGGCAGCCUACUAGAACAAAACUGACGCUGAUGCGCGAAAGCGUGGGGAGCAAACAGGAUUAGAUACCCGGGUAGUC
rnacentral:rRNA from 1 species